GAUGAACGCUGGCGGCGUGCCUAAUACAUGCAAGUCGAGCGAACGGACGAGAAGCUUGCUUUUCUGAUGUUAGCGGCGGACGGGUGAGUAACACGUGGAUAACCUACCUAUAAGACUGGGAUAACUUCGGGAAACCGGAGCUAAUACCGGAUAAUAUUUUGAACCGCAUGGUUCAAAAGUGAAAGACGGUCUUGCUGUCACUUAUAGAUGGAUCCGCGCUGCAUUAGCUAGUUGGUAAGGUAACGGCUUACCAAGGCAACGAUGCAUAGCCGACCUGAGAGGGUGAUCGGCCACACUGGAACUGAGACACGGUCCAGACUCCUACGGGAGGCAGCAGUAGGGAAUCUUCCGCAAUGGGCGAAAGCCUGACGGAGCAACGCCGCGUGAGUGAUGAAGGUCUUCGGAUCGUAAAACUCUGUUAUUAGGGAAGAACAUAUGUGUAAGUAACUGUGCACAUCUUGACGGUACCUAAUCAGAAAGCCACGGCUAACUACGUGCCAGCAGCCGCGGUAAUACGUAGGUGGCAAGCGUUAUCCGGAAUUAUUGGGCGUAAAGCGCGCGUAGGCGGUUUUUUAAGUCUGAUGUGAAAGCCCACGGCUCAACCGUGGAGGGUCAUUGGAAACUGGAAAACUUGAGUGCAGAAGAGGAAAGUGGAAUUCCAUGUGUAGCGGUGAAAUGCGCAGAGAUAUGGAGGAACACCAGUGGCGAAGGCGACUUUCUGGUCUGUAACUGACGCUGAUGUGCGAAAGCGUGGGGAUCAAACAGGAUUAGAUACCCUGGUAGUCCACGCCGUAAACGAUGAGUGCUAAGUGUUAGGGGGUUUCCGCCCCUUAGUGCUGCAGCUAACGCAUUAAGCACUCCGCCUGGGGAGUACGACCGCAAGGUUGAAACUCAAAGGAAUUGACGGGGACCCGCACAAGCGGUGGAGCAUGUGGUUUAAUUCGAAGCAACGCGAAGAACCUUACCAAAUCUUGACAUCCUUUGACAACUCUAGAGAUAGAGCCUUCCCCUUCGGGGGACAAAGUGACAGGUGGUGCAUGGUUGUCGUCAGCUCGUGUCGUGAGAUGUUGGGUUAAGUCCCGCAACGAGCGCAACCCUUAAGCUUAGUUGCCAUCAUUAAGUUGGGCACUCUAAGUUGACUGCCGGUGACAAGCCGGAGGAAGGUGGGGAUGACGUCAAAUCAUCAUGCCCCUUAUGAUUUGGGCUACACACGUGCUACAAUGGACAAUACAAAGGGCAGCGAAACCGCGAGGUCAAGCAAAUCCCAUAAAGUUGUUCUCAGUUCGGAUUGUAGUCUGCAACUCGACUACAUGAAGCUGGAAUCGCUAGUAAUCGUAGAUCAGCAUGCUACGGUGAAUACGUUCCCGGGUCU
rnacentral:rRNA from 1 species